rnacentral:hammerhead_ribozyme from 1 species
AUCCAGCUGACGAGUCCCAAAUAGGACUAAAUGUGAGUCCUAGAU